rnacentral:rRNA from 1 species
GACGAACGCUGGCGGUGUGCUUAACACAUGCAAGUCGAACGGUAAGGCCCUUUCGGGGGUACACGAGUGGCGAACGGGUGAGUAACACGUGAGUAACCUGCCCUCAUCUCUGGGAUAACAGUCGGAAACGGUUGCUAAUACUGGAUAUGAGCUUGCAAGGCAUCUUGUGGGUUGGAAAGAUUUUUUUUGGUUGGGGAUGGACUCGCGGCCUAUCAGCUUGUUGGUGAGGUAGUGGCUCACCAAGGCUUCGACGGGUAGCCGGCCUGAGAGGGCGACCGGCCACAUUGGGACUGAGAGACGGCCCAAAGUCCGACGGGAGGCAGCAGUGGGGAAUAUUGCACAAUGGACGGAAGUCUGAUGCAGCAACGCCGCGUGCGGGAUGACGGCCGUCGGGUUGUAAACAGCUUUCAAUUGUGACGAAGCUUUUUUGUGACGGUAGCAGUAGAAGAAGCACCGGCUAACUACGUG